rnacentral:rRNA from 1 species
UUUAUGGAGAGUUUGAUCCUGGCUCAGGAUGAACGCUGGCGGCGUGCCUAAUACAUGCAAGUCGAGCGAACAGAUAAGGAGCUUGCUCCUUUGACGUUAGCGGCGGACGGGUGAGUAACACGUGGGUAACCUACCUAUAAGACUGGAAUAACUCCGGGAAACCGGGGCUAAUGCCGGAUAACAUGUUGAACCGCAUGGUUCUACAGUGAAAGACGGUCUUGCUGUCACUUAUAGAUGGACCCGCGCCGUAUUAGCUAGUUGGUGGGGUAACGGCCUACCAAGGCGACGAUACGUAGCCGACCUGAGAGGGUGAUCGGCCACACUGGAACUGAGACACGGUCCAGACUCCUACGGGAGGCAGCAGUAGGGAAUCUUCCGCAAUGGGCGAAAGCCUGACGGAGCAACGCCGCGUGAGUGAUGAAGGUCUUCGGAUCGUAAAGCUCUGUUGUUAGGGAAGAACAAAUGUGUAAGUAACUGUGCACAUCUUGACGGUACCUAACCAGAAAGCCACGGCUAACUACGUGCCAGCAGCCGCGGUAAUACGUAGGUGGCAAGCGUUAUCCGGAAUUAUUGGGCGUAAAGCGCGCGUAGGCGGUUUUUUAAGUCUGAUGUGAAAGCCCACGGCUCAACCGUGGAGGGUCAUUGGAAACUGGAAAACUUGAGUGCAGAAGAGGAAAGUGGAAUUCCAUGUGUAGCGGUGAAAUGCGCAGAGAUAUGGAGGAACACCAGUGGCGAAGGCGGCUUUCUGGUCUGCAACUGACGCUGAUGUGCGAAAGCGUGGGGAUCAAACAGGAUUAGAUACCCUGGUAGUCCACGCCGUAAACGAUGAGUGCUAAGUGUUAGGGGGUUUCCGCCCCUUAGUGCUGCAGCUAACGCAUUAAGCACUCCGCCUGGGGAGUACGGUCGCAAGACUGAAACUCAAAGGAAUUGACGGGGACCCGCACAAGCGGUGGAGCAUGUGGUUUAAUUCGAAGCAACGCGAAGAACCUUACCAAAUCUUGACAUCCUUUGACCGCUCUAGAGAUAGAGUUUUCCUCUUCGGAGGACAAAGUGACAGGUGGUGCAUGGUUGUCGUCAGCUCGUGUCGUGAGAUGUUGGGUUAAGUCCCGCAACGAGCGCAACCCUUGAACUUAGUUGCCAUCAUUCAGUUGGGCA